rnacentral:rRNA from 1 species
CCGCGCCCGUCCCGCCGCCCCCGCCCGACGGGGUGCAGCAGGCGCGAAACCUUUACACUGCACGACAGUGCGAUAGGGGGAUCCCAAGUGCACAGGCAUAGCGCCUGUGCUUUUCGGCACCCUAAGGCGGUGCCAGAAUAAGGGCUGGGCAAGACCGGUGCCAGCCGCCGCGGUAAUACCGGCAGCCCAAGUGAUGGCCGAUCUUAUUGGGCCUAAAGCGUCCGUAGCUGGCCGCGCAAGUCCAUCGGGAAAUCCACCUGCUCAACAGGUGGGCGCCCGGUAGAAACUGCGUGGCUUGGGACCGGAAGGCGCGACGGGUACGUCCGGGGUAGGAGUGAAAUCCCGUAAUCCUGGACGGACCGCCGAUGGCGAAAGCACGUCGCGAGAACGGAUCCGACAGUGAGGGACGAAAGCCAGGGUCUCGAACCGGAUUAGAUACCCGGGUAGUCCUGGCCGUAAACAAUGUCUGCUAGGUGUGGCUCCCACUACGAGUGGGUGCUGUGCCGUAGGGAAGCCGCUAAGCAGACCGC